CUGGUCCCGGGCGCCCCCUCCCCCUCCCCGGUCUGGCCUGCCAGCGCCGGGCGAACCGGCUCGGGCUGUCACUCGACGCCUACUAGCGGCCGGGGAGGCUCCAGUGCGCAGGCUCCGGGCACCGGAUAAAAGCGGAGCUGGCGAGUCCGGCGCGGUCACGAUGGAGGAGCAAGAAACGGAAGAGGUCGGGGGGAGAAGCCGCAGACAAAAAAAUGCCAGCCUCGUCAGCGCCGCCUCCCUGCCACCGUGUAAGGGGUAAAAGCUGCCGUGGCCGCCGCCGGUGCAGUCGCCGCCGCUGCCUCCUAUACUUCCCCGCCGCGGGACAGUGUGCUGGGAGGGAGCGGGAGUUCGUUUGUGUGGCGGUGAUUAAACGAGGGGGAGGGCAGAACUAGUUUCUCGAAGCGGAAAGGGGAGACCAAGGACUGAAACGGGCUUCCCCACUAAAAAAAAAAAGAAAAGAAAAGAAAUCACACAGCGAUUACGGAUCUUGCUUUAGGGGGCCUUUUCCCCCCGAAAUGGCGGUUUCCGUCUUCUUGGCCCCCAGCACGACCUUGGGUGCUCUGUUAGAAGAGUGGGGAGAGGCCGAGCGGUGUCGUCAGCCAAUCGGCGCCUGGUGAGCUCGGCCGGGCGCGUCGGGAUUGGCUGGCGAUGACCUCAUGCUGCAGCAGCGGGUGGGGCCAGAGUCGUCGGGGGAGUCUGUAGCAAAGGCAGAGAGGGAGAAGUGAUGACGGCGAUCGUUGUCGUCGCGGCCUCUUUGGAACCCAAGCGGCGGCGAAGGAAGGCGCAAGGCUCUUCCCUGGUCAUUUGCUCCUCUCCCUGCGCGAGUUGGCGGAUGCCAGGGAGAUGCCCUGUGUUCAUCUCAUCAGUCCCAUCAUACCAUUGUGUGACAAGGCUCGCGAAUGAACGUCAGUGCCUGUGUUGGGACAGUUAGGAACCCUUCACCAGGUCUUAGACUUGCUUUGGGGACAUUCUGCCAUUCACUGAAACGGCAGGAGAAUAAAGGAAGUACAGAUGAGUUCAAAGCAGUCUUACCUCCCAGAGUGGUUCUCACUGCUUUGUUUCAUUUGGCCAGCUGUUUGGGGACACACGAGGCUCUCCAGCCAGGAGGCCCUCCCCAGCUCUGAUUUCCCCUCGAAACAACACAGUAUCACCCUUAGAAUGUGGCAAAUGUAAAUUCCUGUUUGGGGAACAGCAAUUGGUCUUUGAAUUAAAAGCUGAAUAAACCAGUA